GGCCAGACUCCUCGGGAGGCAGCAGUGGGGAAUAUUGCACAAUGGGGGAAACCCUGAUGCAGCGACGCCGCGUGAGUGAAGAAGUAUCUCGGUACGUAAAGCUCUAUCAGCAGGGAAGAAAAAAAGUCUUUGGCUUUGGACGGUACCUGACUAAGAAGCCCCGGCUAACUCCGUGCCAGCAGCCGCGGUAAUACGGAGGAUGCGAGCGUUAUCCGGAUUUAUUGGGUUUAAAGGGUGCGUAGGCGGAUCGUUAAGUCAGUGGUAAAAUUGGGGGGCUCACCCCCUUCCCGCCAUUGAAACUGGCGCUCUUGAGUGGAAGAGAAGUAUGCGGAAUGCGUGGUGUAGCGGUGAAAUGCAUAGAUAUCACGCAGAACCCCGAUUGCGAAGGCAGCAUGCCGGCUUCCGACUGACGCUGAAGCACGAAAGCGUGGGGAUCGAACAGGAUUAGAUACCCUAGUAC
rnacentral:rRNA from 1 species